AAGAACGAAUCUAUAAAGAAAUAAUUUAUUAAUAUUUUAUAAGAAUAGAAAAAAAAUAUAAUCUUAACGCACAAGUUCAUUUGAGUAUGAAAACUUGAAUUAAUGGAGCUUAUUCUGGCAAAAAUAUUUUCUUUUCUAUCUAUUUCGUCUUACAAGGGAUUUUGUAAGAUUUGGCAUUCCCACAAAAAUUUCUUUUUCAUUCUUUUAUAGUAACACAUACACAAACCUCCGAAAUUAGUACACGAAAACAGAUGUCGCUGUUAAAAUUUAAGUUUUAUCAAACGAAGUGAAACCGAAGAUAGACGAAGUGAAAAAAGUUAAUGUCAAUAAAGAAAAUGAGGUUAAAGUUAAGUGAAUUUAUCAACAAAACACAAUGGAUUAUUCGAUUUUUGACUGGAAAAAAAAUGAAUCAUCCGGAACAUUUGGACAUCUGUGACAUCUACGGAUUCCGGGAAGAGAUACCCAGACAACCCCCAGGCAGCAUGAAAUGUUUAUUUAAUAAGCAGAAUCCGAUCCGGGGAUGCUGGAAGCAUUUGUGAAAAAAUAGAAAUUGGUGGGACCAGCUCUAAAAAAUGGCCAUAAACAGUUUAAUUGUAAUCCAGAAUAUUCUUAAAUAAAACGUCUUCCCAUACCCUAA